rnacentral:rRNA from 1 species
AUUGAACGCUGGCGGCAGGCUUAACACAUGCAAGUCGAGCGGGGUGAUGGUGCUUGCACUAUCACUUAGCGGCGGACGGGUGAGUAAUGCUUAGGAUUCUGCCUAUUAGUGGGGGACAACAUCUCGAAAGGGAUGCUAAUACCGCAUACGUCCUACGGGAGAAAGCAGGGGAUCACUUGUGACCUUGCGCUAAUAGAUGAGCCUAAGUCGGAUUAGCUAGUUGGUGGGGUAAAGGCCUACCAAAGCGACGAUCUGUAGCGGGUCUGAGAGGAUGAUCCGCCACACUGGGACUGAGACACGGCCCAGUAUCCUACGGGAGGCAGCAGUGGGGAAUAUUGGACAAUGGGGUGAACCCUGAUCCAGCCAUGCCGCGUGUGUGAAGAAGGCCUUAUGGUUGUAAAGCACUUUAAGCGAGGAGGAGGCUCUUUUGGUUAAUACCCAAGAUGAGUGGACGUUACUCGCAGAAUAAGCACCGGCUAACUCUGUGCCAGCCGCCGCCGUAA